rnacentral:rRNA from 1 species
AGUGAAGCGGCAACAGCUCAAAUUUGAAAUCUGGCCCUUGCGGUCCGAGUUGUAAUUUGUAGAGGAUGCUUUUGGUGCGGUGCCUUCCGAGUUCCCUGGAACGGGACGCCAUAGAGGGUGAGAGCCCCGUCUGGUUGGACACCAAGCCUCUGUAAAGCUCCUUCGACGAGUCGAGUAGUUUGGGAAUGCUGCUCUAAAUGGGAGGUAUAUGUCUUCUAAAGCUAAAUAUUGGCCAGAGACCGAUAGCGCACAAGUAGAGUGAUCGAAAGAUGAAAAGCACUUUGAAAAGAGGGUUAAAUAGUACGUGAAAUUGUUGAAAGGGAAGCGUUUGUGACCAGACUUGGGCUUGGUUAAUCAUCCGGCGUUCUCGCCGGUGCACUUUGCCAGCCCAGGCCAGCAUCAGUUCGUCGCGGGGGAUAAAGGUAGCGGGAAUGUGGCUCCUCGGAGUGUUAUAGCCCGCUGCGCAAUACCCUGUGGUGGACUGAGGUUCGCGCAUCUGCAAGGAUGCUGGCGUAAUGGUCAUCAACGACCCGUCUUGAAACACGGACCAAGGAGUCGUCUUCGUAUGCGAGUGUUCGGGUGUCAAACCCCUACGCGUAAUGAAAGUGAACGCAGGUGAGAGCUUCGGCGCAUCAUCGACCGAUCCUGAUGUUCUCGGAUGGAUUUGAGUAAGAGCAUACGGGGCCGGACCCGAAAGAAGGUGAACUAUGCCUGUAUAGGGUGAAGCCAGAGGAAACUCUGGUGGAGGCUCGCAGCGGUUCUGACGUGCAAAUCGAUCGUCAAAUAUGGGCAUGGGGGCGAAAGACUA